rnacentral:rRNA from 1 species
ACAGGACGGAAAGCCCCCGUGGAGCUUUACUGCAACCUGAUAUGGAAUGUUUGUACCGCUUGUACAGGAUAGGUAGGGGCCGAAGAGACGUGUGCGCUAGCAUGCGAGGAGGCAAUGGUGGGAUACAACCCGGGCUGUAUGACCAUUCUAACCCGCCACGCUUAGCGCGUGGGGAGACAGUGUCAGGUGGGCAGUUUGACUGGGG